GCUGUCUCUUGCGGGGCAGUGCAUUUGUUGGAGCAAAACCAGGCGGCUUCGGCCGUUUUUGCUGACUCAGAACAACUUAGCUGAUCGCAUGGGCUUGUCCCGGCGACGUACCGUCCGAGUGUCUGCCUUAUCAACUUUCGAUGGUAGUGUACGUGACUACCAUGGUUGUGACGGGUAACGGAGGAUAAGGGUUCGACUCCGGAGAAGGGGCCUGAGAAAUGGCCACUACGUCUAAGGAUGGCAGCAGGCGCGCAAAUUACCCACUCUCGGUUCGAGGAGGUAGUGACGAAAAAUAACAAGGCUGUUCUCUACGAGGCCAGCCAUUGGAAUGGGUACAAUUCAAACCCUUUAACGAGUAUCAAUGAGAGGGCAAGUCUGGUGCCAGCAGCCGCGGUAAUUCCAGCUCUCAAAAUGCAUAGAAUCAUUGCUGCGGUUAAAAAGCUCGUAGUUGGAUCUGUGCCGGCGACGUGGUCCACCCGAAAGGGCGGUACUGCGCUCGUCGGCUUUGGGCCGGUCUUCGUGCGGUUGCCUUCAUCGGUGGCCGUGCGUGGCUGGCUGGUUUACUUUGAGCAAAUCAGAGUGCUCAGCACAGGCGUUUCGCCGGAAUGUUCGUGCAUGGAAUAAUAGAAAAGGGAUUUCGGUCCUCUUUUAUUGGUUUUGUGGACUGAGAUAAUGGUUAACAGAGACGAACGGGGGCAUUCGUAUUGCUGCGUGAGAGGUGAAAUUCUUGGACCGCAGCAGGACGGACUACAGCGAAAGCAUUUGCCAAGCGCGUCUUCAUUAAUCAAGAACGAAAGUCAGAGGUUCGAAGGCGAUCAGAUACCGCCCUAGUUCUGACCGUAAACGAUGCCAACUAGCGAUCCGCCGGCGGCUUCUUGGCCCUGGUGGGGAGCUUUCCGGAACGAAAGUCUUCCGGUUCCGGGGGAAGUAUGGUUGCAAGCUGAAACUUAAAGAAUUGACGGAAGGCACCACCAGGAGUGGAGCCUGCGGCUUAUUUGACUCAAACGGAAAACUCACCCGGCCCGGACACCGUGAGGAUUGACAGAUUGAAGCUUUUCUGAUCGGGGUUGGGGUGCAUGGCCGUUCUUAGUUCGUGGAUCGAUUUGUCUGGUUUAUUCCGAUAACGAGCGAGACUCCAGCCUACUAACUAGUGCGGGCAUUGCUACUGUGCUUGUCACUUCUUAGAGGGAUUGGCCGCGCCUAGCGGCACGAAACGGAGCAAUAACAGGUCUGUGAUGCCCUUAGAUGUCCGGGGCUGCACGCGCGCUACACUGGCAAAAGCAGCGUGCUUGUCCGCCUCCGAAAGGAGCCGGUAAACCCUUGAAAAUUUGCCGUGAUUGGGAUCGGAAAUUGCAAUUAUUUUCCGUGAACGAGGAAUUCCUAGUAAGUGCGAGUCAUCAGCUCGCGUUGAUUACGUCCCUGCCCUUUGUACACACCGCCCGUCGCUGCCUAGAACUGAGCCAUUUCGAGAAUAUUCGGGAUCGCUGGUUGCGAGUUUCUCACGAGA
rnacentral:rRNA from 1 species